rnacentral:rRNA from 1 species
AAUUGAAAGCCUAGCUUUCAUGAGGUUAGCGGCGGACGGGUGAGUAACACGUGGGUAACCUGCCCUAUAGACUGGGAUAACUCGCGGAAACGCGUGCUAAUACCGGAUAACACAUCAAAGUGCAUGCUUUGAUGUUGAAAGAUGGUUCUGCUAUCACUAUAGGAUGGGCCCGCGGCGCAUUAGCUUGUUGGUGGGGUAACGGCCUACCAAGGCGACGAUGCGUAGCCGACCUGAGAGGGUGAUCGGCCACACUGGGACUGAGACACGGCCCAGACUCCUACGGGAGGCAGCAGUAGGGAAUCUUCCACAAUGGGCGAAAGCCUGAUGGAGCAACGCCGCGUGAGCGAAGAAGGUCUUCGGAUCGUAAAGCUCUGUUGUAAGGGAAGAACAAGUGCAGUAGUAACUGGCUGCACCUUGACGGUACCUUACUAGAAAGCCACGGCUAACUACGUGCCAGCAGCCGCGGUAAUACGUAGGUGGCAAGCGUUGUCCGGAAUUAUUGGGCGUAAAGCGCGCGCAGGCGGUUUCUUAAGUCUGAUGUGAAAGCCCCCGGCUUAACCGGGGAGGGUCAUUGGAAACUGGGAGACUUGAGUGCAGGAGAGGGAAGCGGAAUUCCAUGUGUAGCGGUGAAAUGCGUAGAGAUAUGGAGGAACACCAGUGGCGAAGGCGGCUUCCUGGCCUGU